UACGAAGGGGGCUAGCGUUGCUCGGAAUCACUGGGCGUAAAGGGUGCGUAGGCGGGUCUUUUAAGUCAGGGGUGAAAUCCUGGAGCUCAACUCCAGAACUGCCUUUGAUACUGAAGAUCUUGAGUUCGGGAGAGGUGAGUGGAACUGCGAGUGUAGAGGUGAAAUUCGUAGAUAUUCGCAAGAACACCAGUGGCGAAGGCGGCUCACUGGCCCGAUACUGACGCUGAGGCACGAAAAGCGUGGGGGAGCAAACAGG
rnacentral:rRNA from 1 species